AGUGAACGCUGGCGGCAGGCUUAACACAUGCAAGUCGAACGAGUGGCGGACGGGUGAGUAAUGCUUGGGAAUCUAGCUUAUGGAGGGGGAUAACUACGGGAAACUGUAGCUAAUACCGCGUACCAUAGGAUGAGCCCAAGUGGGAUUAGGUAGUUGGUGAGGUAAAGGCUCCCCAAGACGACGAUCGCUAGCUGGUCUGAGAGGAUGACCAGCCACACUGGGACUGAGACACGGCCCAGACGCCUACGGGAGGCAGCAGUGGGGAAGAUUGCGCAAUGGGGGCAACCUGACGCAGCCAGGCCGCGUGAGUGAAGAAGGCCUUCGGGUUGUAAAGUACUUUCGGUAGCGAGGCGUUAACUACAGAAGAAGCACCGGCUAACUCCGUGCCAGCCGCCGCGGUAAUAC
rnacentral:rRNA from 1 species